rnacentral:rRNA from 1 species
UUGGAAGGGGAAUUCUUACCAAGGUUCCCGUAGGGGAACCUGCGGAAGGAUCAUUG